rnacentral:rRNA from 1 species
GACGAACGCUGGCGGCGUGCUUAACACAUGCAAGUCGAACGGAAAGGCCCUGCUUUUGUGGGGUGCUUGAGUGGCGAACGGGUGAGUAACACGCGAGUAACCUGCCCUUGACUUUGGGAUAACUUCAGGAAACUGGGGCUAAUACCGGAUAGGAGCUCCUGCUGCAUGGUGGGGGUUGGAGAGAUUCGGCGGUUGGGGAUGGACUCGCGGCUUAUCAGCUUGUUGGUGGGGUAGUGGCUUACCAAGGCUUUGACGGGUAGCCGGCCUGAGAGGGUGACCGGCCACAUUGGGACUGAGGUACGGGCCAGACUCCUACGGGAGGCAGCAGUGGGGAUUAUUGCACAAUGGGCGGAGGCCUGAUGCAGCAACGCCGCGUGCGGGAUGACGGCCUUCGGGUUGUAAACCGCUUUCGCCUGUGACGAAGCGUGAGUGACGGUAAUGGGUAAAGAAGCACCGGCUAACUACGUG